GUCUGUUCUUAAAUUAUCAGACCAUAGGAAGUGCCAUAUGACAAUGUAAACAACAGUUGCUUCUCCUCACUGCAAGUAUCCUCAUUUGGCCACAACCUUUGUGGUUUGGUCUGGGCUGGAAUCUCCAUUUGCAGCUGGUUUGGUUUAGUUGUGUGCUUGAUUUUAAGCGGGUCCCUGAGUGAU
rfam:Triticum aestivum genome assembly, contig: Triticum_aestivum_CS42_TGACv1_scaffold_001101_1AL